CAGACAACAGAGAGAGGACACAGCCAGAGCAAUAUAACGUUCUGUAUGCCAACGUGCAGUUCUCCAACAACCAGGCAGAUCCUCUCUACUCCAACAUCAGAUCAGAUCAGCUCCACAGACACAUGGAGGAACAAGAGGUUGCCGAGUACGCUGCUGUUAACUUUAACAGAGCUGGUACUGCUCCGAGAACCAGAGGUCAGGAAACUGUUGAAGAUCCAGCUGCACUGUACAGCACAGUCAACAAAACCUCAUGAAC